GUGGUCUAAAAAGAUUAGUUUUAGACUUAUUAACAAAAAUUCUAGAAUCAUUUCUAGGUGGCCUAAAAUGAUUAUUUCUAGGCUCGUUUACAAAAAUCCGAGAAUUAUUUCUAGGUGGUUUAACCUCAUUUUUAUCAUCCUUUUUAAUAACCUCACUUGUUCUAGAAUCAUUUACACUACAUUUUUCUAGUGUAUUUCUA
rnacentral:lncRNA from 1 species